rnacentral:rRNA from 1 species
UACGUAGGUGACCAGCGUUGUCCGGAUUUACUGGGCGUAAAGAGCGCGCAGGCGGUCGUUCAAGUCGAGUGUGAAAGCCCCCCGGCUCAACUGGGGAGGGUCACUCGAUACUGAUCGACUUGAAGGCAGGAGAGGGAAGCGGAAUUCCCGGUGUAGUGGUGAAAUGCGUAGAUAUCGGGAGGAACACCAGUGGCGAAGGCGGCCUUCUGGACUGACACUGACGCUGAGGCGCGAAAGCCAGGGGAGCAAACGGG